ACGACUCUCGGCAACGGAUAUCUCGGCUCUUGCAUCGAUGAAGAACGUAGCGAAAUGCGAUACUUGGUGUGAAUUGCAGAAUCCCGUGAACCAUCGAGUCUUUGAACGCAAGUUGCGCCCGAAACCUUGCGGUUGAGGGCACGUCUGCCUGGGCGUCACGCAU
rnacentral:rRNA from 1 species